rnacentral:rRNA from 1 species
GACGUAGGGCGCGAGCGUUGUCCGGAUUUAUUGGGCGUAAAGAGCUCGUAGGCGGCUUGUCGCGUCGUCCGUGAAAACCCACAGCUCAACUGUGGGCUUGCGGUCGAUACGGGCAGGCUAGAGUUCGGUAGGGGAGACUGGAAUUCCUGGUGUAGCGGUGAAAUGCGCAGAUAUCAGGAGGAACACCGGUGGCGAAGGCGGGUCUCUGGGCCGAUACUGACGCUGAGGAGCGAAAGCCAGGGGAGCAAAUGGG